UUCGUAGGCGGUGCGGCAAGUCGGAAGUGAAAUCUCCAGGCUCAACUUGGAGGCUGCUCCCGAAACUGCCGUGCUAGAGUGCGGGAGAGGCCAGUGGAAUUGCAGGUGUAGCGGUGAAAUGCGUAGAUAUCUGCAGGAACACCCGUGGCGAAGGCGGCUGGCUGGACCGCAACUGACGCUGAGGAACGAAAGCUAGGGGAGCAAACA
rnacentral:rRNA from 1 species